rnacentral:rRNA from 1 species
UGAGUAACCUGCCCUUAACUCUGGGAUAAGCCUGGGGAAACUGGGUCUAAUACCGGAUAUGACUCCUCAUCGCAUGGGUGGGGGGUGGAAAGCUUUAUUGUGGUUUUGGAUGGACUCGCGGCCUAUCAGCUUGUUGGUGAGGUAAUGGCUCACCAAGGCGACGACGGGUAGCCGGCCUGAGAGGGUGACCGGCCACACUGGGACUGAGACACGGCCCAGACUCCUACGGGAGGCAG